GGAUGUGAGGGCGACCUAGCUGUGACAUCUGUCACCCCAUUGGUCACCAGGGUUGGUUCCACUGAUCUGGCUAGGCAGGUGCCCCCUUCCUUCCUCACUGCUCCAUGUGCACCCCUCCCGAAGCUGCAUGCUCGGUUGAAGAGGAUGGCCUUCCCUACAUAGAGACAGAUCAGUCUUUGGUUGAAGGUAUAUAUAGCUGUGAUCCCUUGCUAGAACCUCCAAACAAGCACUCAAGGAAAUGAGUGCUGAGAACAGGUUAUCCGAAGUUAUCUCAAGGGGUUCAGGCAAGGCUUGGAGACCAAACUG
ensembl:misc_RNA 7SK 7SK RNA